GUCAGUUUCGUUGUCCACGAACAUGACUGGUUUUUCAUCACAGAUGCACAGAAUAUUACCUCUUUACACGGGUUCACAUUUUAUUAAUAAAAGAUGAAUUUGCAGAACUGCAUUCAUAUCAUCUGUAAAACAGCCUUUAUAGUAAUACAAUAAGAUCUUGUAUAGUGAUUUUCUAAAGAAUCUAAGUGCUAGGCGCCUAAUCAUGAUUACGACAAAAAAUAAUCAGUUUUUUCUGAUGAACCAUGUGAAAUCUUGCAAACGCUUUUUUUCUAAAUCUUGAUAAUGAUAUCAAUAAAUAAAAAACAGAAGGUUUUCUUUCCAGCCCCAAAUUUCACCCCAAGGUUUGGUCUUUCCAACUCUGUUGCCAAAUUUGCGGAUAAAUGUUUCAGAACAUAUACAAGAAUCAUCUGAUUUUAUACCUUAUUGCAAAAAUGGAGAAAAAAUGAUAAACGCAAUAGAAAAGGUAUAUUUGUGUUGAAAGAAAGUAGAUAUAAAUUAAAAGCUACACGUGUUUAUUCUAAAAAAAAUAUUUACAACAAUAAAAACACUGGCUAUACAAAAUCUAUCAGUUAAAUAGAUCAGAUCUUACUUAUGAGAAACUUAGAAAAAACUUAUAUAAUAAAUCUAAACUUAGAACAGUUCUGUGUGGUUGGUCCCAACUUAUGCUAAUUAAUUUCAGACUUUGUACACCCUAAAGCAUAAUUAGUAGUCCUCAAAUAAAAACAAAGAGAAAAAAGCAAAUUAAGAGAAGAUAGAUGGAUUAUUGUAUGAGAAGGGCCUUUUGCGGUUGUAAAAUUAAAGAUUCCAACUGCACAAGGCCUGAACCAAAAAAAGAAACAUUUUUAACAACAAUCAGAAACGGAUAGACAGAUAAAUCAAAGAAGAACGUGGAAAUCAGUUUUCAUCGUGAUUUAAAAUCUCUCAAUGCCGAUGAGAUCAGAUUUUAAAAAUUAAUAAGAAAAAAUAUAAAUCCAGGUAUUAUUGUUGCAUAUAAAAAAAAAAGAAAACAACCGUGAUAUUUAUGUGCUACUACUACUACGCAAAAUCUUGACAGAAAAAAGUAAAAAUUCCAGAUUGCUGACCUGCAUUUAAGGUGUAACAAAGUUAAAAACAUCUGACAUACUGGAAUAGAAUUUUAGUGCAUGUCAAGUGUUUGAUAAUUUGGAUUUAGAAAGUAAUAAAUGCAUCCUCUGGUAUAUCGUUUACCUUAUAGAAACUAGACCUUUACCACCUUUGGGCUACCAGGUAUAUACAAUUGUACACUGCCUUAUUAUUAGUAAUACAUUGUAGCACUCUCUUUUGUAGUUAUUUCGUGACAAUUAUAAUUUCGAAACAAUCAUAUGCAAUGUCUCGAUAUUGUUUCCUAGGUUUUAGGUUUAUAAUCAGUAAAUUUGUACUAAUGGACGUUGCAGGCUACUCUCGCGUAUAAGUUUGUUUUUUUUUCUUCUGAAUUUGCUUAUUUAGAUUUUCGGUAAAAAACCUACGAAAAUAUCUAAUAUGACAAGGAAUCAUUUUAUCGGAAAUAUAUUCAAACUCAGAUCAUAAUAAAAACUUUUGAAAUAUUGCAGACGUUUAUAAUAAACUGAA